rnacentral:rRNA from 1 species
GACGAACGCUGGCGGCGUGCUUAACACAUGCAAGUCGAACGGAAAGGCCCUGCUUUUGUGGGGUGCUCGAGUGGCGAACGGGUGAGUAACACGUGAGUAACCUGCCCUUGACUGUGGGAUAACUUCAGGAAACUGGGGCUAAUACCGGAUAGGAGCUCCUGCUGCAUGGGGGGGGUUGGAAAGUUUCGGCGGUUGGGGAUGGACUCGCGGCUUAUCAGCUUGUUGGGGGGGUAGUGGCUUACCAAGGCUUUGACGGGUAGCCGGCCUGGGAGGGUGACCAGCCACAUUGGGACUGAGAUACGGAGCAGACUCCUACGGGAGGCAGCGGUGGGGAAUAUUGCACAAUGGGCGGAAGCCUGAUGCAGAGACGCCGCGUGCGGAAUGACGGCCUUCGGGUUGUAAACCGCUUUCGCCUGUGACGAAGCGUGAGUGACGGUAAUGGGUAAAGAAGCACCGGCUAACUACGUG